UACGGAGGGUGCAAGCGUUGUCCGGAAUCAUUGGGCGUAAAGCGCGUGUAGGCGGCUCGGUAAGUCCGCUCUGAAAGUCCAGGGCUCAACCCUGGGAUGCGGGUGGAUACUGCCGGGCUCGAGUCCGGAAGAGGCGAGUGGAAUUCCCGGUGUAGCGGUGAAAUGCGCAGAUAUCGGGAGGAACACCAAUGACGAAGGCAGCUCGCUGGGACGUGACUGACGUUGAGACGCGAAAGCGUGGGGAGCAAACAGG
rnacentral:rRNA from 1 species